UCAAGCUAAAAAGAGCGCAGGGUGAAUGCCUGGGCACUGGGAGCCGACGAAGGACGUGAUAAGCUGCGAAAAGCUGCGGGGAUCAGCAAGUAUGAAAUGAUCCGCAGAUGUCCGAAUGGAGCAAUCCGCCGGAAUAAAGCUCCGGCAUCAUACACUGAAUUCAUAGGUGUAUGAGGGGAACCGCCUGAACUGAAACAUCUAAGUAGGGCGAGGAAGAGAAAUCAACCGAGAUUCCGUAAGUAGUGGCGAGCGAACACGGAAGAGGCCAAACCUAGAGUAGAAAUACUUUAGGGGUUCGGACAGUAUAAUGAAUUGUCAAGAUUUAGCCGAAUGUCAUGGGAAGGGCAAUCAAAGAUGGUGAAAAUCCAGUAGGCGAAAAGUUAAGACAUCAGACUGUAUCCAGAGUACCGCCGGACACGUGAAACCCGGUGGGAAUAUGGGGGGACCAUCCUCCAAGCCUAAAUACUACUCGGUGACCGAUAGAGAAGAAGUACUGUGAAGGAAAGGUGAAAAGCACCCCGGGAGGGGAGUGAAAGAGAACCUGAAACCUUGUGUUUACAAGCACCGAAAGUUCAUCAACGAACGAUCGGGUACCUUUUGUAGAAUGGUCCGGCGAGUGAAUGUAACUGGCAAGGUUAAGCACUUAAGGUGUGAAGCCGUAGCGAGAGCGAGUCUGAAAAGGGCGCAUGAAGUCAGUUGUAUUCGACCCGAAACCGGGUGACCUACCCAUGUCCAGGCUGAAGUGCAGGUAAAACUUCAUGGAGGGCCGAACCGACUCCCGUUGAAAUGGUAGCGGAUGAGGUGUGGGUAGCGGAGAAAUUCCAAUCGAACCCGGAGAUAGCUGGUUCUCCCCGAAAUAGCUUUAGGGCUAGCCUUGGAAUAGAUUACUGGAGGUAAAGCACUGAAUGGGCUAGGGGCCGAGAGGUUACUGAACCUUAUCAAACUAAGAAUGCCAGAUAAUCGUUUUCCAGGAGUCAGACAGUGGGAGAUAAGUUUCAUUGUCAAAAGGGAAACAGCCCAGACCUACAGCUAAGGUCCCAAAGUAUAGUUAAGUGGAAAAGGAUGUGGAAUUGCAUAGACAACCAGGAUGUUGGCUUAGAAGCAGCCACUCAUUAAAAGAGUGCGUAAUAGCUCACUGGUCGAGUGAUUCUGCGCCGAAAAUUUAACGGGGCUAAACUAUACACCGAAGCUUAGGAUACCGCAAGGUAUGGUAGGAGAGCGUUCUGUACGGAGUGAAGUCGUAGCGAAAGCGGCGGUGGACUGUACAGAAGUGAGAAUGCCGGAAUAAGUAGCGAGAAUUAAGUGAGAAUCUUAAUGGCCGAAAGUCUAAGGUUUUUGGAGGAAGGUUCGUCCGCUCCAAGUAAGUCGGGAGCUAAGGUCAGGCCGAAAGGCGUAGCCGAUGCACAAACGGUUGAUAUUCCGUUACCGUCUACAAUUUAAACAAAGGGACACAUACAAAGCGUUUAACCCGGGCGAUGGUUGACCCGGGCGCAAGGGACUGAAAUUAGAGUAGGGAAGUAAAUGUGGCGUAUGGCGAGAAAAGCUUUGUGUAUAGAAGUAGACGCCCGUACCGCAAACCGACACAGGUGGACAGGAAGAGAAUUCUAAGGCCAGCGGGAGAAGGGUAGUUAAGGAACUCGGCAAAUUGACUCCGUAACUUCGGAAUAAGGAGUGCUCGAAAGAGCCGCAGAGAAUAGGCCCAGGCGACUGUUUAGCAAAAACACAGGUCUCUGCCAAAUCGAAAGAUGAAGUAUAGGGGCUGACACCUGCCCGGUGCCGGAAGGUUAAGAGGAGGAGUGCAAGCUCCGAAUUGAAGCCCCGGUAAACGGCGGCCGUAACUAUAACGGUCCUAAGGUAGCGAAAUUCCUUGUCGGGUAAGUUCCG
rnacentral:rRNA from 1 species